rnacentral:rRNA from 1 species
AAAGAUUAAGCCAUGCAUGUCUAAGUAUAAGCAAUUAUACAGCGAAACUGCGAAUGGCUCAUUAUAUAAGUUAUCGUUUAUUUGAUAGUACCUUACUACUUGGAUAACCGUGGUAAUUCUAGAGCUAAUACAUGCUAAAAAUCCCGACUUUGGAAGGGAUGUAUUUAUUAGAUUAAAAACCAAUGCCCUCUGGGCUCCUUGGUGAUUCAUGAUAACUCUCGAAUCGCACGGCCUUGCGCCGGCGAUGGUUCAUUCAAAUUUCUUCCCUAUCAACUUUCGAUGUUUGGGUAGUGGCCAAACAUGGUUG